UGGGGAAUAUUGCGCAAUGGGCGAAAGCCUGACGCAGCAACGCCGCGUGAAGGAUGAAGUAUUUCGGUAUGUAAACUUCGAAAGAAUAGGAAGAAUAAAUGACGGUACUAUUUAUAAGGUCCGGCUAACUACGUGCCAGCAGCCGCGGUAAUACGUAGGGACCAAGCGUUGUUCGGAUUUACUGGGCGUAAAGGGCGCGUAGGCGGCAUGACAAGUCACUUGUGAAAUCUCUGGGCUUAACCCAGAACGGCCAAGUGAUACUGUCGCGCUAGAGUGCAGAAGGGGCAAUCGGAAUUCUUGGUGUAGCGGUGAAAUGCGUAGAUAUCAAGAGGAACACCUGAGGUGAAGACGGGUUGCUGGGCUGACACUGACGCUGAGGCGCGAAAGCCAGGGGAGCAAACGGGAUUAGAUACCCCUGUAGUCCCUGAGCGGGCUGGCAAGGCGCAU
rnacentral:rRNA from 1 species